GGUUUAGAAAAUGAAUUCAUAAGACAAACUAAUGAGAAGCUUGCAAACAAACUGCCUGCUUGAUCCAUCAACUUCUUCUGCAAUCUACUGUAGAUUCGGUCAUUUCCAACACAUAAAAAGAUAUUCUUCCUUGGGCUCCACAUUUAAAGUCAUAAAACAAGCCAUUACAGAUAUAUCAGUGGGUGGCUCGCCAGAUGCUUGAACCUCACUUGCCUCUUUGGUCUUUGCGCAUCGUGUGUCACUAUCUAAUUCUGCUUCCUUGGGUGAGAGCAGCUGCCUGGCUUCUGCUGGCUGGUAUGCUGAUGCCACUUGAAAGGAGCAACAGAAAAUGACUUUUCCUCUUCGGGGGGGCUCGUAGCAGCUGGUGAGGUUGCACGUUGUGAAAGUUGAAAAGUGCAUCUGCUCUCCGAAGCAUUAUUAAUAUGAAACACACCCAUAUACAUAUAUAUGAAUGUUUUUUCCUCUCUGUAUUCUGCAGAAGGUUGCUGACACUUCAAUACCUUGGUGAUGCCUGCUCGAUGUGGAGAACGUGGCUGGAAUCACAAUGUGUGCUCUACCUGUGUGAAGUAAUAGAAGCACCACCAUUGCUGGUCUACAGGGAGAUGCUCCACAUGUCCAUUUGAUGUGGAUUUCCGACAGGAGAGGUGGUCUUGAGAUUUGGAGGGCUUCGACCUAGAUCAUGUGCUUGGCAAAACCCAGCGUGUGUCCUUCACAUUGUCCUUGGUCUUUGGCUCUCCUGAUCAGACAACCCGGCGGCGGUCCGAAUCUCAGUGCUUUCAGCUUGUCGCUGGCCUUGGUGAAGUAGUUCUUUAGCUCCUCCACGGGACCCUCUCCAGAGAAGAGCCGGUCCACGUACGCCUGGGCGUACUGAUGUGAAGUGAUCAGGUCGGGGUCGAGCGAGGAUGACGAAGCUGUAACAUGGAGGUUAAGUGCUGUGAAAGAAAAAUGGAAGUCAUGUUCAUGCUAAUGCAAAGAAAGUUUUUGGAACCAGAAUAUAAAGUGGAUUUUUUUUUUUUUUUUACUACCAGGUAUUGCACUAGUCACUUGUGAUUGAUUGUAGUAGGGCGGCGAGAGUGACACUGACGCUCUUUCCCGUUUCCCUGUCGGUGAGCGUCAGCCCCGUCAUGGAUCCUUCAUCGUGCAAUUCGCACGACAACGCAGACAUGACUCCUCGACAUUUCACCACACACACCGUAUUGAUCUUAUAACACCUAUAAAAGACACAGGAGAAUAUGACUGUCUUGUGAUUCCCAAUUUGUACUCCAACAAGAUGCCAUGUUGUUACAUAUUGAUAAUUCAGUCAUUCUUUUGCGUUCCACUAGAGGGAGCCCCUGUUUCUAUGGAAAGCUGCUUCGUUUAUUGUGUGUGAAUUGGCUUUUGGUUUCACCUGUAAGCGGGUAGGAUCUGGGCCAGGUCUUCCUUGUAUUGGUCCAGCACAGCUCUUGCUGACAGGGGCUCCCCCAGCCCCUCCAGAACAGCCAGCAACUCACUGUGAGUCGCAAUCUCCGCCCACCAGGGAGAUUUUCAGCUGGGUCAGCGAGAAGCUGAGCUGGGCCUCCAUUCUCAGAGAGUCCUGCACGAGUCGGGAUUUAUCAGCCAAGUUGAUCCUGCAGCGUUUCAACCCGGAUGAGGACAUGACAAGCAGGUCCAUUACCAUACUGACAGCCAGUCCCAGCAGCCCGGCCAGACGGGGCUCGUCCGAGAAUGAUGAGAGUCGUCCAAUCAGAUCCUUCAGACUCCUGGGUCUUCAUUGUGAUUGGCCAACAGCAGGGGGUUCACUACUCUGAGAUGACGCACAGCUCCACCCUCCAGCAUGGUCCGGUACAGAAGGUUACCAAUGGCAUGUUUCACCGCAGAGAUCUCCUCUUCUGAUGACAGCAGCUGGCCCAUGUUGUUGUCUGGAACGGCUAAGAUGCUAAGCUAACACAGAGAAGACUGCAGCAUCACUGUCACGUUUGAAGUUUUGUGUGUGGCCUCUUCAUAGCUUCCAGUCCCACUUCCUUUUCCUGCUGCAGGAAAGUUUCUCCAAGAGUAGACUGCAGUAGAAUUUAGCUGAGCUGUAAAUAAAGACCUCCCCCUAGCCACGGGGAGCAGGACUUGUCAUCGUGGGCCCUUUAAAGCCUCUGACCCACCAAAGGCCCGCUGACCUCAUUUACCUCCAAAGACUAGCACAUUUUUACAAGUGCUAUCUUGAAGUGGAUGCAAAUGAAACUAAUCCUCUUCGUGCUAAAGGGGUAGAAGGAGCCAGCGGCGCCGUGGGAUUGGAAGUAAUAGCUACAAACUGACAAAUAGGCCAAGGGCUUUUAUUGAGCUAAAUGGAACAGAGAGAGACCUUGAUGGUGGUGGUGGUUUUUUUUCUUUUCUCGACAUAAAAUAUGGGACAAGAGGGUGUGGAAAUUUAGAUGGCGUCGGAAAUGUUCUUUGUUAUCUGGGACAAGGGCUUGAUAGAGUGAUAUCCUUUUUGUCUGCAACUCAAGUUACUGCAUGUCCAAUUUUUAGCGAAUUUCCACUUAUCAAAGGACAAAAUGUCUUUUGAGAGCAAUGUGCUAUUAUUUUUCUCAGUAUUGCGACCCAAAAAUUUCAGAUUUUCUGCUAAGAGACUUCUUCAAAUCACUUAUUAUGCAAAUAAUUACAAUUCCCAUCACCAAAUAAUACACCUGACACUAGCCAACAGGUAUAAAUGAUUUUUUUUUUGUGCAAAAGCAUGUUUCCAAUCCUUUUCCCUUCUCAUCUGCACACUUUUCGAACAAUGCUCCUCCCUCAUUCACAUGA